CAAAGCUUGCUUCUGAUGCCGCUCUCGAUCAACCAAACUUGUAUUGUCUUCUUGAGACAACCAAGCACAAACACUAAUCACCAUUCUUAAACUUAGAACCUGUUGAGUAUGGACAGAUUCAAAGCACAAAAUUAGUGAAUGAUGGAGAGAAUAAAGUAACCAGAGAAUUUGAGAAUAAGUAACAAAAGUAUGAGAGAAUAAUGGAGAGUAAGAGUAUGGAGGAGAAUGAGAGUUUUGCGGAAGCAGAUUGCAGUCCAUGGCCUUCAAGCUUCAUGGCUGAUCACAAUGCUGGUGAGGCAUGAACAUCCCACCAGUUAACACAUUUUUAAAGCAUUUUCGAAAUCAGAUUACUCAAGAAUCUGUUCAAAACAUUUUCAGAUUUUUUUUUUUAAAUCCUUUCAAAGAGCUUUUCUUUAAAUCUGAAAUUCAAAUGCUCUUACAAAUCAAUUUUCUUCAAAUCAUCAUCAAUCUUUCUCCCUCCGUCAAGCAUUGGUUUCAUUAGACUUAAAGCCUUUUACCAAGUUUGAAAAUAUUAAGAGACAAAAGGUAGAAAAGGAUGAUAAUGUUUGAGACAAAACCAGCAAGAACUUCA
rnacentral:lncRNA from 1 species